AUUGAACGCUGGCGGCAUGCUUUACACAUGCAAGUCGAACGGUAACAGGCCGCAAGGUGCUGACGAGUGGCGAACGGGUGAGUAAUGCAUCGGAACGUGCCCAGUCGUGGGGGAUAACGCAGCGAAAGCUGCGCUAAUACCGCAUACGAUCUAUGGAUGAAAGCGGGGGACCGUAAGGCCUCGCGCGAUUGGAGCGGCCGAUGUCAGAUUAGGUAGUUGGUGGGGUAAAGGCUCACCAAGCCAACGAUCUGUAGCUGGUCUGAGAGGACGACCAGCCACACUGGGACUGAGACACGGCCCAGACUCCUACGGGAGGCAGCAGUGGGGAAUUUUGGACAAUGGGCGCAAGCCUGAUCCAGCAAUGCCGCGUGCAGGAAGAAGGCCUUCGGGUUGUAUAUUGCUUUUGUACGGAACGAAACGGUCCUGGUUAAUACCUGGGGCUAAUGACGGUACCGUAAGAAUAAGCACCGGCUAACUACGUGCCAGCCGCCGCAGUAA
rnacentral:rRNA from 1 species